GUCUACUGCCAUACCACCCUGAACACACCCAAUCUCAUCUGAUCUCAGAAGCUAAGCAGGGUUGGGCCUGGAUGGUAAAGAAAUAUAAUUCACAUAGCACAAAAGUCACCAUCUUAAAGUGUACACUUGUAGGUU
ensembl:rRNA 5S_rRNA 5S ribosomal RNA